rnacentral:lncRNA from 1 species
AGUUUGGAGUUAGUAGACUCAAACUGUUGUAUUUGGAGUGGGUAAGCAAUGAGAUCCUGCUGUAUAGCACAGGGAAAUAUAUCUAGUCACUUGUGAUGGAACAUGAUGGAGGAUAAUUGUGAGAGAAAGUAUAUAUAUAUUACUGGGUCACUUUGCUGCAGAAAUUGGCACAACACUGUAAAUCAACUAUGAUAGAAAAAACAAAAAUCAUUUAAAAAAUUGCUGUUGUCCUCUUCCAAAUUGGUAGUAUGUAUACUUAUUCCAGUGAUACUGCCAUAUCCAAAGCACUCCACUUUUCAGAUUGAUUUCAGGCAUGAUUGUGCACAGACUCACACAUACACACACACACACCCCUAACACAUACACACAUCUAACUCAUUUUUUUUUGUCUUUUUGUCUUUUUCCAGGGCCACACCCGCAGCAUAUGGAGGUUCCCAGACUAGGGAUCUAAUCAGAGCUGUAGUUGCCAGCCAACACCAGAGCCACAGCAACGCGGGACUGGAGCUGCGUCUGCGACCUACACCACAGGUCACGGCAACACCAGAUCCUUAACCCACUGAGCAAGGCCAGGGAUCGAACCCGCAACCUCAUGGUUCCUAGUCGGAUUCUUUAACCACUGAGCCACGACAGGAAAUCCUCUAUCUCAUUUCUUAUAGUGUUAUCUGCCAAGAACCAAUUCCAACAUGCUUCUCAAAGUCUAACCCCUCCUCAAAAAAAUAACAAUUUACCACUAUUUCAAUUUUUUAUGAUGGUAAUUCCAAAAGAAAAACUCAGAGUGUUUUCAAGUUUGGAAACAGAUUUUGGAUUAUAAAUGCACCAGUGUUCUACCUUAAAGAAUACUUAUUUAUAUUCAGAGGUUCAGGCAAGUUUGUGAACUUUUUAAAAAUCAGUUACAAUGCAUACUUGUUAAAUUUUGAUGAAGUCUAUCAUUAUCUUUGUGAUAGAGAAGGACAGGGAAGAGCUCUAGGAAUCUUUUCUACAAUGGGUUAAGAUCACAGCCAAUGGAUAAAAUGAGACCCACUAAGAUUUUUAAACACCAGCAAUGCUAAGCAUAAUUAGUUGGUAUACAUGGCUAGUUAGACAAUAAAAGGGAAAAGGAAUUUCUGCAAUCAAAGGAGCUUUGUAUAGCUAUUGCAUCACUCAGCUGAAGGAUGUAUGCUAUGAACUCCACAAAUCUGGUUAAUUGCAUUAUGUAUAGGGAGAAAUCAAGAUGGUGAGAUUUCAUCAUGUUCAUAUCUUCAGUCACUAGAGUCAACUUAUACAACAAAGUUUUAGAUUAGGUUGGAGCACAAAAUUAAUUUAUGUUAAUUCAAUCAGAUGGCCAAUUCUAAAAAGUCAAGAUUUACUGCACCACCUGCUUUAUUUGGCCUCAAAGAUUUAGGAAGUAAAAUUCUCUCAAGACACGCACCCCGUCUGCCCCUCCAGUGGCUGAUAUAGUUGAUCUCCAAGCAUCCAUACAGCAUACAUUUGCCAUGUUAAACUACCCUAAGCCCGAUGGAGAAUCCUGGAUUUGAAGCACUGCAGAUCCAUCUCACAAUUUCAGAAGAGGUUGCACUAAGCAAAUACUUGCUGAACAUGUCACUGUGAAUCAGGCUUUAAUUUUCUAUGGAAAAUUCCAAGAACACAUCUCAGGAUGUGUCCAAAAUUUCAAGCAUCCAUCCUAUCACUAUAGCUCAGUUUCAAGAGAAAUUAAUUUUACUGGGGAAAAAACCUCUGCCCAUGUGUCAGGGCUCAUAAUUUUGCAAGUGAAAGAGGAUGAAGGGAAAGCCUGGGAAUGAAGGAUUCCUUCUUCCUCAGCCAUGAAGGAAAAGAGUCCUGGGCUUGACUGCUGUUGGACUGUCACAUUCCCACCCCAUGUCCACCACUGCAGCAAGGAAAGGCCCUAUGCUUUAGCCAGUCAGGACCCAUGCUUGAAGCUAAGCUCUGAGUGGUAACAAUCCCAUUGAAAGAUAAGAAUUAGGAAAGGACAGUUCUUAAGUAGAAAUUUUGAUGCAGAUGAAAAGGAGACCAAGAUGGAAAUAAGAAGGCAACAAAGUGGUGUUCCACUGAUCAAGAAAAUGUUUUUCUCUUGCAAUUUCUUCUUCCACAUGACUAUCUUCUAAACAAUGCAUAUGAUCCCUGGGUUUCUUGAAAGUACCUUUACAUUCAUAAAACUGCUGGGUUAAAAACUAGGAGUCAUCAUCUGAGAUUUCUCCUUGGAAUUAGGAUGGAGGUGCAUGCUAUGUGAAUACACAGUCCUCCUCUCCAGAACUGUUUGAUACCAGCAGUCUAGGUCCCUUCAGCAAUAACCACUAGGCCAACAGCCAUGAACAUGUCUCCAAAUAAAGUUGAUAAACUCUUCUAAGCCUGUUACUAAAAUCUUAUCUUUUUUAGUUAACGGACUACAUUUCACCAGUUUUGAGGGUUUUGUUGGGUUUUUUUUUUUUUACUCAAUUUGCCAAUUUUCUUUUUUUAUUAAAGUAUAGUUGAUUUACAAUGUUGUGCCAAUUUCUGCUAUACAGCAAACUGACACAGUCAUACAUAUAUAUAAACACAUAUAAUAUACAUUCUUUUUCUUAUAUUAUUUUCCAUUAUGUUCUGUCACAAGCUAUUGAUAUAGUUCCCUGUGCUAUACAGUAGGACUUUAUUGUCUACCCAUUCUAAAUGUAAUAGUUUGCAUCUACUAACCCCAAACUCCCAAACAUCCCACCCCUUCUCUCCUCCCACUUGGCAACCACAAACCUAUUCUUUAUAUCUCUGUUUCCAUUUUGUAGAAUAUUUAUGCCUUACUUUAGAGGUCAUAUACAAGCAAGACUAGGACUAAUACCCAUUACAUGGCUCUCAAAGAGAGCACUCCUGGAUUUCAGAAAGUUCUCAGGAUCUCAGACUACUCACAGAGCUUUAUGGAAAAAAAAUAUAUUUUCUAUAAGAAAAAUUCAGACUCCGUCUUAAAAAGAUAUGCCUAGGGAAAGAUAGAUUAUUGGUUCUACGAUCUGAAAAAUUUUGCUGAGGAAAUUUAUAGAUUCUUUUUUUUAUAUUUGAUGAAUUUAUCACAUCUGUAGUUGUAUAGUGAUCAUGACAAUCCAGUGCUGUGAAACUUAAGAAAAAGUUAACAUAAAACAAGACACAGAGACAUUUAUCUUAAUUAAAGAUGGGAACCAGGGGAUUCAAGGUCUCAAGGACAAAGAGCGCUGCCUCAAGAAACCACACUGCUUUUAUUGUGCUCUUUAGGAUUACGUCAAGUGAGGAGGGGGUUGUAGGUGCAGGAUAUAGUUUUUUUUAGACUUUCAUUAUUUUAAAAGUCAUGUAGCUGGUAGAUGGUUAAGCUUUUAUUCUGACCUAUAGGCAUUUAUCAACCAUUAGCAUUUGAGGAAGCUUGGCGUUAGCUGUCUAUGCAUAGCAUCUAAAGAAUCAUCAUUGUGCUCUGCAAAGGCAUGCCUAUCUGUGGCAACCCCGCGUGCCUAGGUUUGCACCUUGUUCUCCUUGCUGAUGCAUAUUCUGCUAAGGACAGCUUAUAAACCACUUGGGGCCAUGAGGUUCCCCUUUCUCAUAUUUUAACAGGACAUGAUAUUGCUGUGCAAACCGCGUGCCGAUCUGCACAGAUCUGGCAUGCCUAGACCAAUGCAUUAUGUCCUCAUUCAGCUGACCACAUGAAUUACAUGCCUUUUGGUCUUUGUUCUUAAGCGUAAGUUAUUUACCAACACUGCAACUGUUUUUCAAGCAGGAAUAUAGGGUAAAGUAAAGCAGGACAAGAUGGAAUUUUCAGCAUAAAAAAUAGAAGCAAAGAGGCUAAGAAAAGAUUGGAGAAACACGUCUCCUGACAGAUUCUGAGCCCAAAAAAGAGGGCUCUGAAGAGUGGAUCAUUUACCAUUAUUAUUUUGAUGGACAGAAUAAGGUUAAGCAUCUCACCAUCCACAUUCUUAGGUUAAUAUAUUUAAAAAAAAAAAAAACUGUUACUCUAAGGAAUAAAGAGGUAGUGAUAUCAUAGAUCUCAUUCAGUAAAACCAUCUAUCUAGUCUCAUCUACAAAAGAAAUUUGAAGAAAUAGAAAUUAUUUCUACCUGUCAGAAAACAUAUUUUCCCCCCAAGAAAGUUUUCCAAUAAGUUCUUGAAAUAUUAUCUUAGUUUACUCUUGUACAGCUUUUGCGGUCAGUAAGCUCAUAUUAUAGACUCAGAAGAUUAGAGGAAUGGGACACUGCAAUAUUGUCAUCAAUUUCAAGCUAGCUAUUCCACUAAAUAAACACUCUAAUAGGAGGAACUAAUCUAACUUUUGUUGAAUUGUAGGCCAAAAUCCCAUUUACAUGGUCAGGAUGUUUGUCUAGGUCAGUAUCUAAAUCCUCAAGAAUAAGAUUUGACUGUGUUUGGUUAAGUUUGAAUAUCAAAGGAUCCAAAUACCAUGAUGCAGCAAUAUAAAUACGCAGAGACAUCUCAGAACAUCAAAGCCAAGCAUUCAGAGAUGACGUAAAAGAAGGAAAGAAAAAGGAAUUUCAGGGCUUAAUAAUCUGCUGAUUUUCUCUGUGCAUACAGUUUUCUCCAUAAUUUGAAUGUUCAAAAUUUUCUCAUCCUGCAACUAGAUUUAUAAUAUAUCAGAAAUUUAUUUAUAUAUGUAUACAUACGUAUAUAUGUAGGUAAAAGUAAGUCACCUUUCUCAUAAUUCUUUUGUUAGUUUUCCCUAGGCUAAAUUAAUGCUCCACUUCCCUCUUCUUUUCAAAGACCAGCAUGUGCACAGUGGAUAUUAGGAUGAACACUGGCAGAGCUGGCAGGAUUUCAGAAUUCGGAGUUCUAUUCCAGUUCUGUACUGGUCAGUCAGCUAUGGGACAGCCAGCAGGACAGCUAUAUUUUCUGCCCCUCAGUUUUCUCACUAAUCACCUGAAGGGACGGGAUUAGUGGCUCAGCACUUCUCAAUCCUUGACAUGUUCUUGGGUUACUAAGCCUAUCUCCACAGCGCUGAGGUGAACAUGCAAAUCCCUUGGAGGGUAGAAGUUUCUUCUCUCUGACUACAAAAUGCAACCUACUCCAGACCUUUCUCCAGGCAUGCUUCUGGCUAGAGAGGCAGCCAUUAGUCCACUUGCAUUCUGUCAUCAAAAGACCCUGAAAAAAAAUUUUUUUAUUAAAGUAUGGUUGAUUUACAGCAUUGUGUCAAUUUCUGCUGUACAGCAUAGUGACCCAGUCAUACAUAUAUACACAUUCUUUUUCUCACACUAUCUUCCAUCAUGUCCUACCCCAAGAGACUGGAUAUAGCUCCCUGUGCUUUACAGUAGGACCUCACUGCUUAAACAUUCUAAAUGUAAUAGUUUGCAUCUACAACCCCAAACUCCCAGUCCAUCCCACUCUCUCCCCCUUGGCAACCACAAAGACCUUGAAAAUUAACACCACAUGUUGCUGUAGAUUAUAGGGAGGGAACACAACGUGUGAAAAUUCUAUUAAAACUUUAUUAAAAUCCACUCUAAAUAUCUCUCCUGUGUUUUAUGACUGUUUAACAUUUUUGUUACUUACACCUGAAGUAAACAAAAAUGGCAUGUCCUCUGAAAAAAUUAAAAAUUUUUUUAAAAAUCUCUCCUUUUCCUCACAUCAUGAAGUCCUUCUGUAUGAAGUCCUUCUCCAACUCUCUUUUAUUCUUGAUGAACACUGCAUUCUAAGGAAUAGAAAGGCCCCCAUUUCCUUGUAUCUGUACAAAGAUGUCUAUGUCUUAUAUUUGUCUCCUUGGAUACUGUAGGGGUGAUUAGGUCCUUUUGAAACACUUUUUCCCUGGAAAGCUCUGAAGUGAAAUGCUUAUUAUUGGAGGAGGCCAUUGAGAGGACAGGACUUACUAGAAACCUGGGACCCUGGCAAAGGGAGGCUCCUCACCCCUCCCCUGUCCUUGGAAUAUAUGCUCUGCCCACCAUUCCCACAGUGGGGGCUUUUCCAAAGAUGUAGCCUUGAGAAAGAGUGAAGUUGUUGAGACCAUCUGGACUGAAUAUGUGACUGAACCCAGUUAAAGCUUCUGUAUAAGCUUUUAAGAUUUCAGCAGUUGGUACGGAGAUUUUGUCUUGCAACCAUCCAAGGGAAGACUUGUAAGUUCCCUUGCUUAUUAAAACUAUCACCCACUAAUCUGAAAUAGUUUGCCUCUUUCUUCAUUCCUCCUUGCCCUUUGUGUACGGAGGCCAGGUUGGGAACCAAACACUUAAUAAGAGUUUCUGUUCCCAAGAUUAGUUCAAUGUGACAAGGUGUUCUGUCUUAAUAAAAGGCAAUAUCCUGAAUCCUGGACAAAGGAGCAAAUUUUAUCUGUUGGGACACACAAAAGUUGUUAAUAUUUUAACUUUGAUUCUAUUUUCAUUUUAUUAGAUAUAAGUGGCCAACCUCAUCA